rnacentral:lncRNA from 1 species
CAUGAACAGCCACGGAUUCCAAGUCAAUUUGGUCCAUUGCGGGGUUAGUACUCCACUUCUCGUCAGCAUCAUAAUGGAAACGGCCAUUUUCUGGACUAAAAGCAUGGGCUAGUAUUUUCCCAGGUCCAUCAAAAGGAUAACCAUCCCCAUGAUCACCGCUGUAGAAUGCAAUAACAAUAUUUGCUGAUGCACCAUCAGAGGCCUCCUGGAAAGUUAAUGGAGAAACAUCUGACCACUUUUUGAAAGCAUCUGAGCAGACAGACCUCAAGGUGU